ACCUGCAAUGUGAUUGAUUAAGGAACGAGCAGGGUUAGGAAAGCAGAGAAUUAGGAGCGACCGAGGGCUAGAGUAUUGAAUGGCGAGAGGUGAAAUUUGAUGACCCAUUCAGGAGUGACAAAGGCGAAGGCACUAGUCAAGGGCGAAUUCGAUGAUCAAGGACGUAGGCUAGAGUUUUGAAAACGAUUAGAGACCGGAGUAGUUCUAGCAGUAAACUAUGCCGACGCCGUGGUAUGGUUUUUUGUGGCUGUAUUGCGGAAGAGAAAUCAAGUAAGGCUUUGGGGAGAGUACGCGCGCAAGCGAUAAAUUUAAAGGAAAUUGACGGAGGAACACCACAAGGAGUGGAGUGUGCGGCUUAAUUUGACUCAACGCGGGACAGCUUACCAGGCCCGAUAAUCGAGCGAGCGUUGUACGCGAUAGAUUAAAGAGUGGUGCAUGGCUGCUAUCGACAGUUGGGGUGACCUUAGGGUUAAUUCCGGCAAGUAGUGAGACCCCUGCAGAUAGUGGACAGGUAUUUUUAAAAUACAGGAAGGAAGGGACAAGAGCAGGUCAGUGAUGCCCUUAGAUGGCCUGGGCUGCACGCGCACUACAGUGGUCAUUAUAAGUAGAAGUUAGAAGUAAAGAUGAUCGAGAGGGACUGAGCUUUGUAAGAGGCUCACGAACGAGGAAUUGCUAGUAAUCGUAGGCUCAUUAAGAUACGAUGAAUAUGUCCCUGUACCUUGUACACACCGCCCGUCGUUAUCGAAGAUGGAAUUGUGUGCGAACGAGCAACAA
rnacentral:rRNA from 1 species